UUCCGGUUGAUCCUGCCGGAGGUCACUGCUAUUGGGAUUCGACUAAGCCAUGCGAGUCGAGAGGGUUCGGCCCUCGGCUGACGGCUCAGUAACACGUGGAUAAUCUGCCCUUAGGUGGAGGAUAAUCUCGGGAAACUGAGGAUAAUACUCCAUAGAUCUAGGAUGCUGGAAUGCAUCUAGAUUGGAAGCUCCGGCGCCUAAGGAUGAGUCUGCGGACUAUCAGGUUGUAGUCAGGGUAAAGGCCUGACUAGCCUACGACGGAUACGGGUUGUGAGAGCAAUAACCCGGAGACGAUAUCUGAGACACGAUAUCGGGCCCUACGGGGCGCAGCAGGCGCGAAAACUUCACACUGUGCGAAAGCGCGAUGAGGGAAUCCCAAGUGUUUGCUCGUAAGAGUAAACUGUUUCUUUGUUUAAAACGCAGAGAGAGUAAGGGCUGGGUAAGACGGGUGCCAGCCGCCGCGGUAAUACCUGCAGCUCAAGUGGUGAUCAUUAUUAUUGGGCCUAAAACGUCCGUAGCCGGUUUAGUAAAUGCCUGGGUAAAUCGUGUAGCUUAACUAUACGACUUCCGGGUAGACUGCUAAACUUGAGACCGGGAGAGGCUAGAGGUACUCCUGGGGUAGAGGUGAAAUUCUGUAAUCCUAGGGGGACCACCAGUGGCGAAGGCGUCUAGCUAGAACGGGUCUGACGGUGAGGGACGAAGCCCUGGGGCGCAAACCGGAUUAGAUACCCGGGUAGUCCAGGGUGUAAACGCUGCUUGCUUGAUGUUAGUUGAGCUUCGAGCCCAACUAGUGUCGGAGAGAAGUUGUUAAGCAAGCUGCCUGGGAAGUACGGUCGCAAGGCUGAAACUUAAAGGAAUUGGCGGGGGAGCACAGCAACGGGUGGAGCGUGCGGUUUAAUUGGAUUCAACGCCGGA
rnacentral:rRNA from 1 species